CAAAAGAUAGUAUAAUUAUUACACAGCGCUUACAACGUUGAAAUAAAGUUUUAACUUUUCUUUUGA
rnacentral:tRNA from 1 species